AAGUCUGACGGAGCAACGCCGCGUGAACGAUGAAGGUCUUCGGAUCGUAAAGUUCUGUUGUCCCCCCCAGAACAAGUACCGUGCGAAUAGAGCGGUACCUUGACGGUACCUAAAAAAGAAGCCCCGGCUAACUACGUGCCAGCAGCCGCGGUAAUACGUAGGGGGCAAGCGUUGUCCGGAAUUAUUGGGCGUAAAGCGCGCGCAGGCGGUUCCUUAAGUCUGAUGUGAAAGCCCACGGCUCAACCGUGGAGGGUCAUUCGAAACUGGGGAACUUGAGGACAGAAGAGGAGAGUGGAAUUCCACGUGUAGCGGUGAAAUGCGUAGAUAUGUGGAGGAACACCAGUGGCGAAGGCGACUCUCUGGUCUGUUUCUGACGCUGAGGUGCGAAAGCGUGGGUAGCAAACAGGAUUAGAUACCCUGGUAGUCCACGCCGUAAACGAUGAGGGCUAGGUGUUAGGGGGCUUCCACCCCUUAGUGCUGAAGUUAACGCAUUAAGCACUCCGCCUGGG
rnacentral:rRNA from 1 species